GCAUGGUUCUCAGGGCAUCUAAUAAAAUUUAAAAAUACAGAGAAAAUUAGCAUGACCCUGCGCAAAGAUGACAUGCUUAAAUCAAGAAAUGGUUCAAAUUUUU